rnacentral:rRNA from 1 species
CAAUAGCGUAUAUUUAAGUUGUUGCAGUUAAAAAGCUCGUAGUUGGAUUUCGGGUGGGACGCAGCGGUCUCGCAUUGCGUUUGUACUGCUGCAGCCCUCCUUCUUGCCGGGGGCGGCCUCUCGGACUUCACUGUCUGGGGGUCAGAAUCGGCGAUGUUACUUUGAGUAAAUUAGAGUGUUCAAAGUAAGCUUACGCUCUGAAUAUAAUAGCAUGGGAUAACACGACAGGACUCUGGCCUAUCGUGUUGGUCUAUAGGACCAGAGUAAUGAUUAAGAGGGACAGUCGGGGGCAUUCGUAUUCCGUUGUCAGAGGUGAAAUUCUUGGAUUUACGGAAGACGAACAUCUGCGAAAGCAUUUGCCAAGGAUGUUUUCAUUGA